UACGAAGGGGGCUAGCGUUGUUCGGAAUCACUGGGCGUAAAGCGCACGUAGGCGGACUUUUAAGUCAGGGGUGAAAUCCCGGGGCUCAACCCCGGAACUGCCUUUGAUACUGGAAGUCUUGAGUCCGAGGACGAGGUGAGUGGAACUCCGAAGUGAUAGAGGUGAAAUUCGUAGAUAUUCGGAAGAACACCAGUGGCGAAGGCGGCUCACUGGCUCGGUACUGACGCUGAGGUGCGAAAGCGUGGGGAGCAAACAGGAUUAGAUACCCGGGUAGUCC
rnacentral:rRNA from 1 species